GAAUAUUGCACAAUGGGCGCAAGCCUGAUGCAGCAACGCCGCGUGCCCGAGGACGGCCUUCGGGUUGUAAAGGGCUUUUCUGGCUGACGAGGAAGGACGGUAGGCCAGGAAUAAGCGUCGGCUAACUACGUGCCAGCAGCCGCGGUAAAACGUAGGACGCGAGCGUUAUCCGGAUUCACUGGGCGUAAAGCGCGUGCAGGCGGUUUCGUAAGUCGGACGUGAAAGCUCCUGGCUUAACUGGGAGAGGUCGUUCGAUACUGCGGGGCUUGAGGUCGGGAGAGGGACGUGGAAUUCCCGGUGUAGUGGUGGAAUGCGUAGAUAUCGGGAGGAACACCAGUGGCGAAGGCGACGUCCUGGCCCGCACCUGACGCUGAGACGCGAAAGCGUGGGUAGCAAACGG
rnacentral:rRNA from 1 species